AUCACAUUUAGAAAUGUAUUUUUGAUCUUAAACAUACUUCCAAACAAAAUCCAAAUUGCCAAGAGUGACCAUGCUCAAUACUGUAUUAAGUAAUUUUGCUUAAAAAUUCAGCUCUUGCUAGCGAACAUAGGUUAAUAGACAAUGUUGUAUUAAGCUUUUCGAUCCAUGCCUUAUUUUGUGAAAACCACAUCACGUAUCGUACAUUCUUGACCAACGUUUACAGAAUUUUCCAAACUGGCAAUUCUACUUCUAGACUAUAACGUCAACGUAUACUUGGCCGUUAUAACUUCCUGAAACGUGGCUUAAUGUCCCAGGCGUAAGAUAUAGAUCAACGUAAUCGUUGUUCGAGCCAUUUUGUCGCAGUAAACUUCCCCGAGCAUAUAUUUGGAAGGAUAAGGUAAACGGAUUCGACGUGUUGAGCGAUUUCGUUUCAAUUAAAGACGUUUUGUUGAAGAAUAUCGAGUCGGAUUCUUUGACACACAGGAUGCAGCUGAAAGAUUAAUGACU